GUUCAACAGUAACAUGAAAACAAUGUCCGAUCUAGCUCUUUGACAUUCAAUUGAAAAUUUGAAAGAACUGGCAAACAAAGCAUCAUCACAAAUCACAAAAUACGAAAUCCCCAAGGUGAUAUUGAACGCCACUUCAACUUCUACAGUAGCCUACACUGAAGAGAAGGCACUCAAGACAGAUAUCCGUUCAUGUUGUCUGCAAGUGAUUCCAGAUUAAUGACGUUUCGGCACCUGGGCAACAGUGCUGGACAGUGGAUUGCUGAAAGGGAAAACACCCGUUUCGAUGGCCAUUGAUAAUUGGAGAGCAGCAUUGGAAUGUGACAGCUUGUCUGGCUUCGUCUGGUCCUAAGUUACACAAUACAAAACACAUUGUAAUUAAGUUACAAACAAAAAUGUAAACAAAUUUAGAUUAGGAUUUUUAGACUUAAUGUUUCAGCUUAAAUUUCAGCUGAAGUUUUCGUGUGACUUAGGUGCUUGUGACAAUAGAAAUCAAGUUAUCCAAUCCAAUAAUGCAAACUAUGUCUUCCAAAACUAAAUACUUUAAAUAGUUUCUACUGUCAUUAAAUUUGUAUGAUAAUAUUUCAGGUUAACUUCCCUUGUCAAAUUUUGGUAAAAUCUUCAAGAUAUUAAUGCCUUCCCCAGAUGCAAUUCUUUGCUGCUAUCUCUUC